rnacentral:rRNA from 1 species
UGCGCAGGCGGUUCGUUGUGUCGGUGGUGAAAUCCCCGGGCUCAACCUGGGAAUGGCCAUGGAAACUGGCGAACUUGAGUGUGGCAGAGGGGGGUGGAAUUCCGCGUGUAGCAGUGAAAUGCGUAGAGAUGCGGAGGAACACCGAUGGCGAAGGCAGCCCCCUGGGCUAGCACUGACGCUCAGGCACGAAAGCGUGGGGAGCAAACA